GACGAACGCUGGCGGCGUGCUUAACACAUGCAAGUCGAGCGAUGAAGUUCCUUCGGGGAUGGGUUAGCGGCGGACGGGUGAGUAACACGUGGGUAACCUGCCUCAUAGAGGGGAAUAGCCCUCCGAAAGGAAGAUUAAUACCGCAUAAGAUUGUAGUAUCGCAUGAUACAGCAAUCAAAGGAGCAAUCCGCUAUGAGAUGGACCCGCGUCGCAUUAGCUAGUUGGUGAGGUAACGGCUCACCAAGGCGACGAUGCGUAGCCGACCUGAGAGGGUGAUCGGCCACAUUGGGACUGAGACACGGCCCAGACUCCUACGGGGGGCAGCAGUGGGGAAUAUUGCACAAUGGGGGAAACCCUGAUGCAGCAACGCCGCGUGAGUGAUGACGGUCUUCGGAUUGUAAAGCUCUGUCUUCAGGGACGAUAAUGACGGUACCUGAGGAGGAAGCCACGGCUAACUACGUGCCAGCCGCCGCGGUAACAC
rnacentral:rRNA from 1 species